rnacentral:tRNA from 1 species
ACGCGCGGGCGACGGUGCCCGCCGCCACGCGGGCCGCGGUCUCGCGCGCGCUCGCCCGUUCCAGCACCGGCCGCGCGUC